rnacentral:rRNA from 1 species
UACGAAGGGGGCUAGCGUUGUUCAGAUUUACUGGGCGUAAAGCGCACGUAGGCGGAUCGUUAAGUCGGGGGUGAAAUCCUGGAGCUCAACUCCAGAACUGCCUUCGAUACUGGCGAUCUUGAGUCCGGAAGAGGUGAGUGGAACUCCUAGUGUAGAGGUGGAAUUCGUAGAUAUUAGGAAGAACACCGGUGGCGAAGGCGGCGAUCUGGGUCGAUACUGACGCUGAGGUGCGAAAGCGUGGGGAGCAAACAGG